CCCUUAGAUGGUCUGGGCGGCACGCGCGCUACAAUAAUGCAUUCAAAAAGUCUUCUGACCUUAGAAGGUUGGGUAUUCUCCAAAGUGCAUCGUGAUGGGAAUAGUUUAUUGCAAUUUUUAAUCUUGAACGAGGAAUUCCUAGUAAGUACAGGUCAUCAACUUGUGUUGAUUACGUCCCUGCCCUUUGUACACACCGCCCGUCGCUCCUACCGAUUGAAUGCUCAGGUGAGCCAUUCGGACUUUCAUCAUGCUGGUUUCCAGUUUUGAUGAAGGAAAGUCUUGCGAACCUUAUCAUUUAGAGGAAGGAGAAGUCGUAACA
rnacentral:rRNA from 1 species